CUCCAGAAAGCCGAGUGGUUAAAGCGAUCGACUACUAGUCCAUUGAGGUUUCCCCGCGUGAGUUCGAAUCUCAUUCUGGUCG
rnacentral:tRNA from 1 species